UGCAGUGUCAGAAAGAGGAAAGAGACACUGCAUGCUGCCUCGUUUUCAUUUGAAGUAUCAGGACUUGGAACUUGUUCCUGGGUUUGCUGUAACAUUUGGGCCAAGAAACAGCUGUGUUUCAAAUUCAGUCCGUACAAAUUCACAUGACAGUUCAUUUUCCUUUGAUGCUCAAGUCAUUAAGACAAAAUCUCACAAUGGAAAAGACAGGGCGUAGUCAACAUCUGAUGAACACUCGGCCAAAUUCAACGGUAAAACAAUAUAUUUCAAAGAAAAUUAUUAUUUUUGUUUUAAAAAAAAGAAAAAGAAGACUCUAACUAUUUCCUGAUAAACUCAUUUCAUUGUAAUAAACGUAUUAGGCUAUAGCUGAGCGCGUAAUACAUAAAGAAAACACACCCAAAUAUAUUCCUAAGUUAGUCAGUAGUGAAAUAUGUCAGCAUCACGGAGUAGGUUACUCAUCUCAUAAUUCAACUCAAGAGUUAAGUGUGACGAUAAAUCACGCUCCUCCACUCCAGUGUUGUGAUUCCCAUCAACAACCUGUGUUUAAAAGACUCUUCAAACCACAUAAAUGGCAACUGUGCUUAUUCAAACCACGAGGAGGAAAUAGCUCAGCUUUGCACUCUUGACAUAGCAACAGUGUUAAAUCAUCAACUGAGAGCAGAACUUCUUCUUUGCUGAUAAAGCAUUUCACAUCGUUGAUUGAGAAAGGCGUUAGUUUUUGGUCUUUAUUGCUCAGUUAAGUGCACAUAACUAUAAUAUUGUCAUUUAAAUAGUGCUUAAAAUGAACAAGAGUUUAUAAUACAAGUCAAUGUGAACAGAAAAGUUAAAACUCAGAUGUCUCUUGGGCAUUUUUGUAUCUUGUAAAUCAUUAACAGAAUUAUCCUUUACAAUAACAAUGCCAUUGACUCAGCAGUCAGAAUAAACUUGUCAGCUGCUAGCAGCUUGCAGUAUUCUCAUGUCAGCAGAGCACAUACAUAAACUUAGCACAAAAAGAAAGGAAAUGUGUAUCUGGUGGAUUAUUUCUUUGUUGUAACAAUGCUUCUUAGCAAUAAAUCUUAUACUCUUGAAAAGCCUGUUCAUUCCAUUUUUAAUAGUGCCUUCUUUGUGAAGAAUUUGUGCGAUGAGCAGCAGAGCUAAGUAUGUGUGUUGCGCCCAUAAAAAGUUGCCAAAUCUCCGCUGCUAUUGCCAAAUGGCUUAUUUUACUGCUGCUAUUGUCUAAGAGAUCAAGGCAAACUUUAUUCCUGCUAAGAGCCAUUUGUUUCACAACCAGCAGUAAAAAAAACACAGUAAAUACUUCUAUAAAAGUAAUAAAAACAACACUAAAAACACAAAAAAACUAUUAAUAAACUAAAGUCAGAUGGGCACUGAUUAAUACAAGGAGUUAGAUGAGUAAGAAUAAGUCGUAUGCUUGUUGUUUUAAAAGCCAACAGCUGCUGGGACAAAUGAGUUUUUGCAUCUCUUAGUCCUGCCUUUUGGUCGACUGUAUCUGCAGCCAGAGGGAAGCAGAUUAAUUGUGCCCUCUUCAGUGUCAUUUCCUUGUUCAAGUGAGCCAGACUUGGAAGGGUCUGGCCCUUCUGGUACCUCCAGAUGCUGACUGAUAGGUAUCUGAUUGGACAACCUCAAGCUGGUGUUCCACAAAACCAAGUUGCAACAUUAGUUUGAGUGAGCCCUAGUACCAUUUCCAAACUAAAGGCCAAGUUCCUUAUCACGGGAGAUCACAGACACAGGCUGCUAAGUGGCUGUCCCAAGAAGACAACCUCAAUGCAAAGAGAUGCAAAGUUGAGAUUCUGCAGCCAGUGGCAAUCCCAUAUUUCCACAGUCUGGUUUUCACCUCUAUCCUCCAAGAUGAUAAUGCUUACCCCCACAGAACAGGGUUUAUCAGGGACUACCUCCAGAAUUUGGCAGUAGAGACCAACACAACCCACUGGCUGACUUUCAACAAGGAUGCCGUCCCACAGCAGUGUGUGGCCAGCAUGAGGAGGAUGUAGUUCCAGGCUGUUGCAGAUACUGAGCCUCCUGUUUGUUUAAUGAGUGAUUGGUUAAAUUGCCAGUAUGUCUUGGUUCUUCACGCUUCAAUCAUCCUAUUCACUUAACAAAGCCAAACAAGAGUUGACAGCUUAACAAGCUGUUUGACAUCAAAGAUUUCACAACUUUUUCAUGGGCGCAAUCCAAACUCAGCUCUACUGCUCAUCCCACAAACACAUGUUCCUUACCAAUGUGGCACCAUUUAAAAGGAACAUAAACGGGUUUUUAGUAUAAAAUGUAUUGCCAUUCAUGCCAGCAACACCUUCAUCAAGUAUGCAGAUGACACCACAGUAGUGGACUGCAUCACCGGAGAGGACGAGUCCGCCUACCGCAAGGAGGUGCAACAGCUGACAGUGUGGUGCAGAGUCAAUAAUCUGCUCCUGAACUCAUCAAAAACAAAGGAGCUAAUUAUAGACUUCAGGAAAAAACAAACAGACUUGCAGCCCCCUCUCAUUAGUGGGACCUGUUUGGAAACAGUCCGUGACUUCCGCUUUCUUGGGGUCCACAUAGAGGAGAAACUGACUUGUGACAAGAAGACCACACAGGUUCGUCUCAGGAAGAACAUCUGCCAGAGACUGCUCGAGUCUUUUUACCGUUCCGCCAUGCAGAGCAUCCUCACGUACUGCCUCUGUUCGUGGUUUUCCAGCUGCACAAUGAGGAACAGGAAAGACCUCCAGAGGGUCACUAGGAUGGCUGAGAAGGUCAUUGGGUGCUCUCUGCCCACACUGGAGGACCUUCACAGCUCUUACUGCCUCAGGAGAGCCACCAACAUCAUUGAGGACUCAUCCCACCCAGGCCACCCCCUGUUUGAGCCACUGCUGUCAGACAGACGGUACAGGGCCAUUAAAGCCAGGACAAAAAGACUGCAGCACAGCUUUUUCCCAAACGCUGUCCGUUCCA